GGACCCAUGGUGUAAGUGUAAGCGUGGUUGCCCCUCACCCAAUCAGUCUGGGUUCGAUCCCAGUAGGUCCC
rnacentral:tRNA from 2 species